rnacentral:tRNA from 1 species
GGGGGUAUAGCUCAGCUGGGAGAGCAUCUGCCUUACAAGCAGAGGGUCAUAGGUUCGAGCCCUGUUACCCCCACCA